AAGGUCACACCCGUUCCCAUCCCGAACACGGUAGUUAAGCUUCUCUGCGCCAAUGGUAGUUGGAGGCUUCCCCCUGCGAGAGUAGGUCGCUGCCGGGC
rnacentral:rRNA from 1 species